UGGGGAAUAUUGGGCAAUGGGCGCAAGCCUGACCCAGCAACGCCGCGUGAAGGAAGAAGGCUUUCGGGUUGUAAACUUCUUUCUCAGGGACGAAGCAAGUGACGGUACCUGAGGAAUAAGCCACGGCUAACUACGUGCCAGCAGCCGCGGUAAUACGUAGGUGGCAAGCGUUAUCCGGAUUUACUGGGUGUAAAGGGCGUGUAGGCGGGGGAAGCAAGUCAGAUGUGAAAACCACGGGCUCAACCUGUGGCCUGCAUUUGAAACUGUUUUCUUGAGUACUGGAGAGGCAGACGGAAUUCCUAGUGUAGCGGUGAAAUGCGUAGAUAUUAGGAGGAACACCAGUGGCGAAGGCGGUCUGCUGGACAGCAACUGACGCUGAGGCGCGAAAGCGUGGGGAGCAAACAGGAUUAGAUACCC
rnacentral:rRNA from 1 species